rnacentral:pre_miRNA from 1 species
CACAUACUCCCUCCGUCCGGAAUUAUUUGUCGCAGAAAUGGAUAAAAAUGGAUGUAUCUACAACUAAAAUAUGUCUAGAUACAUCCAUUUCUCCGACAAGUAUUUUUGGACGGAGGGAGUACAUA